UUCCCUUAUAGUUCACAUAUGCUAACAGAGAUGAGGACCAUAUAUUCAUAUUCGAAUUUAGUUUAUGCAAAAUAAAACACUGCAAUAAGAAAACAAAAGAACUGCAAUCAUGAAGAUUAUUUGAGAACAAUAUUGGAAGGAUUACACGGCAGAGUUUAACAUGUAGAACUUUUCAACAUUUAUGGUAAUCCAGGAUACCAAUUAAAAUAUGUUACCCAGAAAUAUAUCCAUUGAGCAAAGGGGCACAUAAGAGCAAAAAAAAGUGAACUAAUUGCCAAGAUUGCUUACAUGGGAGUGCUUAUUAUACUGCGAAAUAUAUCUGAGAUAUAGUAGGAUACAUUGCCAAAGGAUCAUGGUUGCCCUUCAAGGUUAAGGCUUACAACUAUGAUCUAAGUAGUAGGACUAACACGAAGAACGUUAACACCCUUCUUCCUUUUGCUCCCUUGAUGAUUGCAAACACUGUCCCAUGAUCUGAACUUGGGAUUCAUAUUGACCUUUGCUGGAAGAAAGAAGAGUUAUUGCCAAAAUGCUUGCUGAUGAGAGCAAACAGAAGGUGACAAUAAUGGUGCUCAAGUGAGGGAAACAUGUUGGUUUUGUUAGUGGCUUUUGUAGGUGAAAGGGAAAGUGGAGGAAUGGAUCUUCCUGGCAUAUACCUUGACACUCACAGUGCCUGUGUUUGCUUUUCUGUCCACUUUUUUAUAUAUCAUUUUCUAACAUUAUCUGACAUUACUACGAAAAUU
rnacentral:lncRNA from 1 species